rnacentral:lncRNA from 1 species
GCUGUGAGGGCUCCAGAGAGGCCAAGGCAAGGGAGACUGAGGAGAAGCAAAACCAGAAAACUUCCUUUGCUGCCUUUAUGGAUGGUAAAGUGUAAAGUAGCUCAGUCAGCAAACCCACAGGAGCACCCUGAAACAAGAGAAUACAAGUUUGCGUCCCUGAAUUCCCACCAGUCCACUCUCCUGGAGGAAAGGGAAGGCCAAGCAGUUGAGGCAACCUCUUGACUCCACUCUUCCAUCCAAAGACCCACUCUAAGGAGAAUGGGAAUCUAAGAAGCUGAUUGAAGAACAGAUUGAAGAACUUACCAGAGUUUUGGACAGUUGCAGACAGUUAAUAAGAGAACAUAAAUUGGAAUUUGAAGCCAAUCUGGGAGGAAGGUCCUGGAUUACACAUCAAAUUUUCACUUGGGACCCUAAAGUGAUAUACAUUAGAUGUGAUGAACAGAACGUGGGCCAGGACUCAGAGUAACCGAAGCCAGCCUUGGCUCACGUCAGUCUUGGUUCAGGUCAAUUGCAGCUGUUCAAUGGACUCUCUCAACAGCAUUUUUGGAGGAAAACACAAUUAGAGUUUUAAAUUGUCAUGCGAUGUUUCAUAUAUAAUUUCUGGGUCUUAGGCAAAAAUAAUUAGGCAUGCAACAAGAAAAUAACUAAAAGAAAACCAAAAGGGAGAAAAAAAAGCAACGCAGGAACCAAAAUAUCAUAGUAAAACUGCCAGAAACAAAGACAAAAGAAAAAUUAUAAAGGCAGCCAGAAAAUAAUAUAAAAGAAGCCAGUAAAAAGGCAAUUGCCUUCAAAGACUCCCUGAAAGAAACAAUAGAAGCAGCAGACAAUGGAGUGACAUCUUUGAAAUGCAGACCUAGAAUUCAAUACCCUGGGAAAAUAUCAUUCGUAAAUGAAGACAAAGUAAAUUCUGAGAAAGAAAAACUGGGAGAAGUCAGCUGUGUAAGGCUCUGAUUAAAGGAAAUGCUCCAGGAAGAUUUUCUGGCAUUGGAAAAAAAUGACAGAGAGAACCACGGUGAUAGAGGAAGGCAUGCGGAGUGAUGGGCUGAGCAGAUAAGACAGUGAAUCAAAAAAUUAACAAGAAAU